UGAACGCUGGCGGCGUGCUUAACACAUGCAAGUCGAACGAACCUUCGGGUUAGUGGCGGACGGGUGAGUAACGCGUGAGAAUCUGCCCUCAGGAGGGGGAUAACGGUUGGAAACGACCGCUAAUACCCCAUAUGCCUACUGGUGAAAUGAAUUUCGCCUGAGGAUGAGCUCGCGUCUGAUUAGCUAGUUGGUGAGGUAAUGGCUCACCAAGGCUUCGAUCAGUAGCUGGUCUGAGAGGAUGAUCAGCCACACUGGGACUGAGACACGGCCCAGACUCCUACGGGAGGCAGCAGUGGGGAAUUUUCCGCAAUGGGCGAAAGCCUGACGGAGCAACGCCGCGUGAGGGACGAAGGCCUCUGGGCUGUAAACCUCUUUUCUCAAGGAAGAAGAUAUGACGGUACUUGAGGAAUAAGCCACGG
rnacentral:rRNA from 1 species